rnacentral:rRNA from 1 species
GACGAACGCUGGCGGCGUGCCUAAUACAUGCAAGUCGAACGCUUCUUUCCUCCCGAGUGCUUGCACUCAAUUGGAAAGAGGAGUGGCGGACGGGUGAGUAACACGUGGGUAACCUACCCAUCAGAGGGGGAUAACACUUGGAAACAGGUGCUAAUACCGCAUAACAGUUUAUGCCGCAUGGCAUAAGAGUGAAAGGCGCUUUCGGGUGUCGUUGAUGGAUGGACCCGCGGUGCAUUAGCUAGUUGGUGAGGUAACGGCUCACCAAGGCCACGAUGCAUAGCCGACCUGAGAGUGUGAUCGGCCACACGGGGACUGGGACACGGCCCAGGCGCCUACUGGAGGCAGCAGUAGGGAAUCUUCGGCAAUGGACGAAAGUCUGACCGAGCAGCGCCGCGUGAGUGAAGGAGGUUUUCGGAUCGUAAUACUCUGUUGUUAGAGAAGAACAAGGACGUUAGUAACUGAACGUCCCCUGACGGUAUCUAACCAGAAAGCCACGGCUAACUACGUG